rnacentral:rRNA from 1 species
UACGUAGGGUGCAAGCGUUAAUCGGAAUUACUGGGCGUAAAGUGUGCGCAGGCGGUUAUGUAAGACAGGUGUGAAAUCCCCGGGCUUAACCUGGGAAUUGCAUUUGUGACUGCAUGGCUAGAGUGUGUCAGAGGGGGGUAGAAUUCCACGUGUAGCAGUGAAAUGCGUAGAUAUGUGGAGGAAUACCGAUGGCGAAGGCAGCCCCCUGGGAUAACACUGACGCUCAUGCACGAAAGCGUGGGGAGCAAACAGG